UCGAGCGGUAGCAGCUCUAGUAGCAAUACUAGAUGCUGACGAGCGGCGGACGGGUGAGUAACACGUAGGAAUCUGCCUCUAAGCGGGGGACAACCAAGGGAUACUUUGGCUAAUACCGCAUAAUAUCGAGAGAUCAAAGCUCCCGUAAGGUGGCACUUAGAGAGGAGCCUGCGUCCGAUUAGAUAGUUGGUAAGGUAACGGCUUACCAAGCCGAUGAUCGGUAAGUGGUCUGAGAGGACGACCAGUCACACUGGGACUGAGACACGGCCCAGACUCCUACGGGAGGCAACACUGGGGAAUCUUGGACAAUGGGGGCAACCCUGAUCCAACGAUGCCGCGUGGGUGAAGAAGGCCUUCGGGUUGUAUAGCCCUCUAGGUUGGGACGAAGGAUACGAGGGGAUAAUACUCCUAUUUUGACGGUACUGACAGAAUAAGCACCGGCAAACUAUGUG
rnacentral:rRNA from 1 species